GGUUAUGGUGGUGGUUGAAAGUGUCUGCCCGUCGGUCGAGGAUGGACAAAAUUACAGCAGAGACCGCAGACACAAGGGCAACACCCGAACCUGAUAAAUAUGAGUCGUAUUGGCAGAGACGUAAUGAAAAACAGACCAUCUAAUGGAAUAUAACCACCCCGUAAUCACUUGCCAACGAGUAAUGUCACUCCGAGACAUGUGGGUUGAUCAAACACGUUGGAGAAAUACUCGUAGAUUGGGACCAUCACAUUGAUAGUAAGGACGCUGCUCUGAAACAAACACGGUUCCACACAUGUGCUGUCAUCCAUUUGCUUCCAUUCAAUGGAUCCACCCUGGUGUACUGACCAGUCCUAGUCAAAUACAAGACCCACACCUAUGUACUCA